rnacentral:rRNA from 1 species
GAUGAACGCUGGCGGCGUGCCUAAUACAUGCAAGUCGAGCGAACAGACGAGGAGCUUGCUCCUCUGACGUUAGCGGCGGACGGGUGAGUAACACGUGGAUAACCUACCUAUAAGACUGGGAUAACUUCGGGAAACCGGAGCUAAUACCGGAUAAUAUAUUGAACCGCAUGGUUCAAUAGUGAAAGACGGUUUUGCUGUCACUUAUAGAUGGAUCCGCGCCGCAUUAGCUAGUUGGUAAGGUAACGGCUUACCAAGGCAACGAUGCGUAGCCGACCUGAGAGGGUAAUCGGCCACACUGGAACUGAGACACGGUCCAGAAUCCUACGGGAGGCAGCAGUAGGGAAUCUUCCGCAAUGGGCGAAAGAGUGACGGAGCAACGCCGCGUGAGUGAUGAAGGUCUUCGGAUCGUAAAACUCUGUUAUUAGGGAAGAACAAAUGUGUAAGUAACUAUGCACGUCUUGACGGUACCUAAUCAGAAAGCCACGGCUAACUACGU